UACGGAGGGUGCAAGCGUUAUCCGGAUUUAUUGGGUUUAAAGGGUGCGUAGGCUGUAAGUCAAGUCAGCGGUGAAAAGUCGGGGCUAAACCUUGAGGGUGCCGUUGAAACUGAUUUACUAGAAUGUGGAUGAUGCCGGCGGAAUGUGUCAAGUAGCGGUGAAAUGCAUAGAUAUGACACAGAAGGCCGAUUGCGAAGGCAGCUGGCAAAGGCACGAUUGACGCUGAGGCACGAAAGUGCGGGGAUCGAACAGG
rnacentral:rRNA from 1 species